rnacentral:rRNA from 1 species
AUUGAACGCUGGCGGCAGGCUUAACACAUGCAAGUCGAGCGGAGAUGAGGUGCUUGCACCUUAUCUUAGCGGCGGACGGGUGAGUAAUGCUUAGGAAUCUGCCAUUUAGUGGGGGACAACAUUCCGAAAGGAAUGCUAAUACCGCAUACGUCCUACGGGAGAAAGCAGGGGAUCUUCGGACCUUGCGCUAAAUGAUGAGCCUAAGUCGGAUUAGCUAGUUGGUGGGGUAAAGGCCUACCAAGGCGACGAUCUGUAGCGGGUCUGAGAGGAUGAUCCGCCACACUGGGACUGAGACACGGCCCAGACUCCUACGGGAGGCAGCAGUGGGGAAUAUUGGACAAUGGGCGGAAGCCUGAUCCGGCCAUGCCGCGUGUGUGAAGAAGGCCUUUUGGUUGUAAAGCACUUUAAGCGAGGAGGAGGCUACUAGUACUAAUACUACUGGAUAGUGGACGUUACUCGCAGAAUAAGCACCGGCUAACUCUGUGCCAGCAGCCGCGGUAACAC